GGUGGCUCAAUGGUAGAGUGCUUGCCUUAAAUGCACGAGACUCUGGGUUCAAUUCCUCAGCACCA
rnacentral:tRNA from 1 species